rnacentral:rRNA from 1 species
AGAGUUUGAUCAUGGCUCAGAUUGAACGCUGGCGGAAUGCUUUACACAUGCAAGUCGAACGGUAGAGGGGGCAACCCCUUGAGAGUGGCGAACGGGUGAGUAAUAUAUCGGAACGUGCCCAGUCGUGGGGGAUAACGUAGCGAAAGUUACGCUAAUACCGCAUACGAUCUAAGGAUGAAAGCGGGGGACCGUAAGGCCUCGCGCGAUUGGAGCGGCCGAUAUCAGAUUAGGUAGUUGGUGGGGUAAAGGCUCACCAAGCCAACGAUCUGUAGCUGGUCUGAGAGGACGACCAGCCACACUGGAACUGAGACACGGUCCAGACUCCUACGGGAGGCAGCAGUGGGGAAUUUUGGACAAUGGACGCAAGUCUGAUCCAGCCAUUCCGCGUGCAGGAUGAAGGCCCUCGGGUUGUAAACUGCUUUUGUACGGAACGAAAAGGUUUCUCUUAAUACGAGGAGCUCAUGACGGUACCGUAAGAAUAAGCACCGGCUAACUACGUGCCAGCAGCCGCGGUAAUACGUAGGGUGCAAGCGUUAAUCGGAAUUACUGGGCGUAAAGCGUGCGCAGGCGGUUAUGUAAGACAGAGGUGAAAUCCCCGGGCUCAACCUGGGAACUGCCUUUGUGACUGCAUAGCUAGAGUACGGUAGAGGGGGAUGGAAUUCCGCGUGUAGCAGUGAAAUGCGUAGAUAUGCGGAGGAACACCGAUGGCGAAGGCAAUCCCCUGGACCUGUACUGACGCUCAUGCACGAAAGCGUGGGGAGCAAACAGGAUUAGAUACCCUGGUAGUCCACGCCCUAAACGAUGUCAACUGGUUGUUGGGUCUUCA